CCCAAGGGGAUACCUUAGUAACGGCGAGUGAAGCGGUAAAAGCUCAAAUUUGAAAUCUGGUACUUUCAGUGCCCGAGUUGUAAUUUGUAGAAUUUGUCUUUGAUUAGGUCCUUGUCUAUGUUCCUUGGAACAGGACGUCAUAGAGGGUGAGAAUCCCGUUUGGCGAGGAUACCUUUUCUCUGUAAGACUUUUUCGAAGAGUCGAGUUGUUUGGGAAUGCAGCUCAAAGUGGGUGGUAAAUUCCAUCUAAAGCUAAAUAUUGGCGAGAGACCGAUAGCGAACAAGUACAGUGAUGGAAAGAUGAAAAGAACUUUGAAAAGAGAGUGAAAAAGUACGUGAAAUUGUUGAAAGGGAAGGGCAUUUGAUCAGACAUGGUGUUUUUUGCAUGCACUCGCCUCUCGUGGGCUUGGGCCUCUCAAAAAUUUCACUGGGCCAACAUCAAUUCUGGCAGCAGGAUAAAUCAUUAAGAAUGUAGCUACUUCGGUAGUGUUAUAGCUUUUUGGAAUACUGUUAGCCGGGAUUGAGGACUGCGCUUCGGCAAGGAUGUUGGCAUAAUGGUUAAAUGCCGCCCGUCUUGAAACACGGACCAAA
rnacentral:rRNA from 1 species